rnacentral:lncRNA from 1 species
GCAGCAGUCGGAUAUGUAAAAACAAAAUUGGUGUAAUUGUCAACCUAAAAGGUUCUAGCAAUUAACUCACAUCAGGAAGAUUAAAAAAAAAAAUCAAACAAGCUUCAACAGGGUGAAAGAAGACGAGAUUUAAGCUUUGAAAAUAGAUUAGGGUUUUAGAUUUUAUUCUGCAAAGACAUACGGUUAGAUGUAGCUGUAUGUAUGCGGCUGAGGGUUUAAAUCCU